UAAUGUCAAUUUAUGUUUACAAAGUUAAUUUGUCCUUGCAUUCUAAUUUGUGUUUUGAUUAUAAUUACAAUGACCAUAUCCUUGCACUAUCAAUUUUUUUUGUGAUUAUUUAAUUUAUGUGCAACAUAUCCACUUUGUUAUUGUCGCAAAAAUCAGUUGUGUAUGCGUGAUUAGUAGUUUAGAAUGGUGACAAUCUGCUUUUAUGCUCAUAUCAAUUCGAGUUUCGAUUUGCAACCUGUGCUUUCAUUUG
rnacentral:lncRNA from 1 species